UACGUAGGUCCCGAGCGUUGUCCGGAUUUAUUGGGCGUAAAGGGUGCGUAGGUGGUUUCUUAAGUCAGAGGUGAAAGGCUACGGCUCAACCGUAGUAAGCCUUUGAAACUGGGAAACUUGAGUGCAGGAGAGGAGAGUGGAAUUCCUAGUGUAGCGGUGAAAUGCGUAGAUAUUAGGAGGAACACCAGUUGCGAAGGCGGCUCUCUGGACUGUAACUGACACUGAGGCGCGAAAGCGUGGGGAGCAAACAGG
rnacentral:rRNA from 1 species